rnacentral:tRNA from 1 species
GCCCGAGUGGCGGAACUGGUAGACGCGGCGGGUUCAGAAUUCGUCGACCGUACGGUCAGUGAGGGUUCGAGUCCCUCCUCGGGCA